GGAGUUAGCCGGUGCUUCUUCUGUGAGUGAUGUCCUUCCUGCCGGCUAUUAACCCGCAGGCCUUCUUCCUCACUGAAAGUGCUUUACAACCCGAAGGCCUUCUUCACACACGCGGCAUGGCUGGAUCAGGGUUGCCCCCAUUGUCCAAUAUUCCCCACUGCUGCCUCCCGUAGGAGUCUGGGCCGUGUCUCAGUCCCAGUGUGGCUGAUCAUCCUCUCAGACCAGCUACGGAUCGUCGCCUUGGUGAGCCGUUACCUCACCAACCAGCUAAUCCGACAUAGGCUCAUCCGAUAGCGCGAGGCCCGAAGGUCCCCCGCUUUCCCCCGUAGGGCGUAUGCGGUAUUAGCCUGGGUUUCCCCAGGUUAUCCCCACUACCGGGCAGAUUCCUAUGCAUUACUCACCCGUCCGCCGCUCGCCACCAGGGAGCAAGCUCCCCGUGCUGCCGCUCGACUUGCAUGUGUUAGGCCUGCCGCCAGCGUUCAAUCUGAGCCAUAAUCAAACUCUGA
rnacentral:rRNA from 1 species